AGUUGCUGGGUGUAGACCCGAAACCGAGUGAUCUAUCCAUGGCCAGGUUGAAGGUGCCGUAACAGGUACUGGAGGACCGAACCCACGCAUGUUGCAAAAAUGCGGGGAUGAGCUGUGGAUAGGGGUGAAAAGGCUAAAAACAAAACUCGGAGAUAGCUGGUUCUCCCCGAAAAAACUAUUUAGGUAGUGCCUCGAGCAAGACACUGAUGGGGGUAAA
rnacentral:rRNA from 1 species